rnacentral:rRNA from 1 species
GAUGAACGCUGGCGGCGUGCCUAAUACAUGCAAGUCGAGCGAAUGGAUUAAGAGCUUGCUCUUAUGAAGUUAGCGGCGGACGGGUGAGUAACACGUGGGUAACCUGCCCAUAAGACUGGGAUAACUCCGGGAAACCGGGGCUAAUACCGGAUAACAUUUUGAACCGCAUGGUUCGAAAUUGAAAGGCGGCUUCGGCUGUCACUUAUGGAUGGACCCGCGUCGCAUUAGCUAGUUGGUGAGGUAACGGCUCACCAAGGCAACGAUGCGUAGCCGACCUGAGAGGGUGGUCGGCCACACUGGGACUGAGACACGGCCCAGACUCCUCCGGGAGGCAGCAGUAGGGAAUCUUCCGAAAUGGACGAAAGUCUGACGGAGCAACGCCGCGUGAGUGAUGAAGGCUUUCGGGUCGUAAAACUCUGUUGUUAGGGAAGAACAAGUGCUAGUUGAAUAAGCUGGCACCUUGACGGUACCUAACCAGAAAGCCACGGCUAACUACGUGCCAGCAGCCGCAGUAA